CCUGCACAGGGCUGGCUGUGGCAGGGGACACUCUCCUGCUGGCUCUCUCUGACCACACAUUAGCUGGCUCCCAUCCUCAGGUGCACGGCCACACCCUUGCACCCAACCUUGAUCCUCUGAUGGGGAAGGUCCCAGGACUUGCCAGCUGGGACAGGCCUCACCCCCAAGCGCUCUAUGCAGUACUGAGAAGCAAACCUGACAGAUUUCUCCAGAAAAGUGGCCAUCCAUGGAAUGAGUGAAAUACUCUUUCUAUUCCAGGGAUUGCAGAGGCAAAGCUAGGCUAGGUCUUGGAGGCUGGUGGAAGGCGGUGCGGGUAAGGCAGGACGCUGAUGGGAGAGACUGGUCGAAGAAAAGCCGAAAUGGAUUCUCCGUGCCUUGGAUGGAGGAAGAGGGGGGAAGUGCGAGCUCCUUCAACUCGUUCUGUCCGGUGAGGAGUGAUCCAGCUUGGGCUGACAAGAGGCUCCGGAGCCUUCAUGUUCAGUGCUUUUUUACCUGCCAAUCAAACUGCUACAAGACAACACCCUGCUCUGGCAUGGACAACCUAGAAAUUAUAUUCUCUUCAAGAUCCAUGAAAGAGAACCUGACUGCUUGCUUUGGUCUGAGAGUUCAGACAUCUCUUCUCUUAAGAAAGUCUUCAUUUCCGUUUGCUGAGUCCUCCUGUUUUGUCAUCGCUGGGCCCUGUAAGAAGUUUGCCAGGAGGUCCCCAGAAGUAGAAGGACCAU
rnacentral:lncRNA from 1 species